CCCUUAGAUGUUCUGGGCCGCACGCGCGCUACAAUGAUGAAUUCAACGAGUUUAUAACCUUGGUUGAAAAGCCUGGGUAAUCUUUUGAACUUUCGUCGUGAUGGGGCUAGACCCUUGCAAUUAUUGCUCUUCAACGAGGAAUUCCUAGUAAGCGUAAGUCAUCAGCUUGCGUUGAUUACGUCCCUGCCCUUUGUACACACCGCCCGUCGCUACUACCGAUUGAAUGGCUUAGUGAGGCCUCCGGAUUGGCUUUGGGGAGCCGGCAACGGCACCUCAUGGCUGAGAAGUUGGUCAAACUUGGUCAUUUAGAGGAAGUAAAAGUCGUAACA
rnacentral:rRNA from 1 species